UAUGACUAUUUCAGACACCGCAAGGUUUGCAAAGGCAAAGGCAGGAAGAGAAGCUUGGUUUAGCCUGCGUUUAUUUUUGUGAUUGGAGAGUGAAGGCAGUCGAGAUAUCACAGGGCGUUCAGAAAGUUUCAGAAAGGGAAGUAUUUGUGCUUUAUCACUUGACCCAGAAACUCCAGCCGAGUGCUAAUCUUUGAUGGAUUCUGCCCGCCUCAUAGGCGCACUAAUAAUAAAAAUGAGGCAGAUGGGGAGCGUUUCAACACAUGACACAUCAAAUCCGUCUCCUGAGAUGUGCCCAUGCCCGUCACAGCCCUGCCUGGGUGGCUUCGAAUGCCGAGCACGGGCUGCAAAACACCGCCGUGCAAGAGGCCGACGCCUCCGCGGCCUAGCUUGGCGCCAGACAGAAGACAACACGCACGAGGUGUUUGCACUUGAACACGAAAGAGGCACAAGCACACACCUCUCCACCCACAUCCUGUCCCCAGGGCCUGCUCUUGAACAGCAACACAGCGUGCCGGAGGGGCAUCAGGAGACCCGGGUCUGGGCCACUGUUGAUCUGUGUGACCCUGGGCAUGUCGCGUCCCUCCUGGAGUCUUUUCGUCUGUGAGCAGCAUGGUUAGGAAUCCGCCUGUCUGGCUCACAGACUUAUAGGUGGUGGCCAGUGGAUAAAUACCAGUCACCUUGUGACCGCCCCCCAGAAAAGAGAUGUCCACGCAUCUGUCCCUAGUUCAGUAUGACGGUUGUUGCCAUUUAACGUGGCCAAGUGGGAAAGAGCUGGUAGUUUUCUUCCCAGAGAGAAGCGGAAUGUGCCCUCUCUGCUGACCCGGACGGGGACACCGACUCCAAGCCCCGCGAGCAUCGUCACGAGGAAGUCACAGUCGGGGCUCCGGGAAGCUCCGUGCUCCCGGCUCCUCUGUGCUCAUUCAGGUAGCCAGAGAGGCCACACGAGGCCCCUGCAGCAAGGGUGGGGCUCCCUGGGGUCAAAGUCAGAGAGGAACUCAGAACCCCGGGAGGGACUUUGAACGAACGAGAUUCAGCAAACACCGGUUCGGCGCCUCCAUUUCUCACCAGGCACGGGGCCGCUGCCUUCUGUGCAUUAAAUAAUCCACAUGACAAGCCUGGCUGAGGCAGCAGCGUUAUUUCGAUCUUGUGACGCUUGGGUCCACAUCGCUUGGGUGUCAUCUGAAACGUCACCUCCUCCUGACGCCUUCCCGGGUUCCUUCUCUCACACAGCGCCUGGCUCUUUCACGUAGCAACGUUGGGAUUGCACACUGCUUUGUGCUGCUGUCCAUGAUGUCCACCUGGACCGUAAGCACAGGGGCCCCGUCUCUUCUGUCACCGCCGUCUACAGGGUGCUUUGGAGACAUUCAGGAAAACACUGUUGGACAGAGUGUGGGAAUACACACAGGCAGUAGGGACUCAAACACGCGUUGCCUGCCUUCCUUAUUUUCCUCUUCGUCAUUUUUCACCACGUUUCUUUCCGGAUCCGAGAGGAGACGUGAUAUUUCAGGGGGGACUUUGCAAUAAGACCCCAAAGUUCCCACAAUCUUACUCAUCUUGAAACCACGGAGCACCUGGCUGCGGGGUGUGACGGAGGCCUCGGCAAAUCCCGGGACCCUCAAUCAUCUCUUCCCGCCUCGUGAGUUGCACUGUCUCCGGAGCCCUGCAGGUGCUCAAGGAUUUCGUCGAGGCCGUGCAGUAAGCCCGUGAAGCUUGUUGCUUACCCGUGUGACGCGCGCGCAGAUGGCGUCUGUCCCUGCCCUGGCCGAGAAGCCUGUUUUGUCUAUACAAACAUCUGAUGACGAGAAUAGGGGUCAGCCAGAGCUCAGAGCAUGCUGUCACUACCAUCAUCAGUGUGCAUUAAUGUUCAUUGCACCUGCUGGAAACGCCUUCUUCCCCCUCUUCUCUUCCAACCCCAGUCCUGGGAGUCAUCAGAGAUAAGUAGGCAAGCCUCUCACCCUGCUGCCGGCACGUAGUAGGUGCUUGGUAAUUACUUCCUCCCUUCCUUUGCCCGUUUGCCAAGGGUGGGCCCCGGCCCGCGGCCUCUCCACCCCGGUCCCCAGGUACGUCCCCUUCUCAGAUUCCCCCACCACUGACUCUUUCCCCUUGCAAUUGGCCAGUAAGCCAGCAAACUGAACUGGGACACUUCUCCUCUGCACCUGUUGGUCUCCAAAUCUAGUCUGUGAGUGAGCUCACAGCUCCUUGAAGACAAGGACUCAGCCUAAUGUGUCAUAGUCUUACCAUUCUUGUGCCUUAACAACGCUGGUUUCGGGCCUGGCCUUGCCUGUGGUAGACGCCCCGUAAAUCAGGCCUCAGAGCCUUUAUAGGCCAAGGCAUGAUGGAUGUAGAACAGGCUAGGAAAGCGAGUGGGCGUAAACGGUGAACCAGCUCUUCCUCCUUCGGGUUCUGAAUUGGGUUCUGCAACCCUGUCAUUAUAAUGCCCAAUCCCCCUUCCAAGGGGCAGCCCGUACCCAGCAGGAUUCAUAGCGCGUUAGCACUGGAGCUAGACCACGGUGGGAAGAUCCACAGCAUACAAGCAAAAAGCUGAAUUAGGAAGCGAUGAGGAUCGAAGCAGGGGAGCAGAAUUCUGUCCAAGGCGUUAGCAUGGAGUCAAAAUGCGUGUGAAAGCCAGAACAUCAAGAGUCAGGCCCUCUCUGAGGCGUAGACCAGAUAGACAAGGAGAGGCCAGCAGGAGAAGAGACGGCGGCAGAGAGACUCGUGACCCUGCAGCACCUCUUUCCUGGAGGGGCCCUGGGGCCUGGGGCUCAGCCCAGUUUGAUGGCUUAGAGUCUAAGGACACCCACGCGGGCCUCCGCGGCUUCCCUUGGCUCACUGGUAUCCAGACAAAAAGGGAACCAAGCCGUGGACAGACAGAAGUUCCUGUUUCCCAUUUCAUGAAAACUGUGAAUCUCUGUCACAUUCUGGGCUCGGGCUGUGUCCGGGGCCCAGCCCCUGGCCCUCGGCCAACCUGCAAAAUUCCAUUUCAGUUUGGAGUUUGAAAUCUGUCAUGCGUCGACAUUUUGGUCAGACGGCUUAAGAGCGCUGUUGUCCGGAAUUCACUGAGUCUGCAUUUUGUACAACUGCUCCCUCUUCAUAAGGUGUAGCCCCCGUGUUCAGCGAGAGAGGCUAAAUACACGAGAAUCUUCAAACCAGAAAUUGGCCGGGUUCUCCCGGAGCGCUUCUGUCCUGGGAGGGCAGGGGCGAGGCUGUUGACACAGGAACUUAUUCAUUAACCUCAUUCAGAGGCUACAAAUUGGUUCUUUAUUCACAACAGGGAACACGGCUUCAUGAGCUCUUUUUUUUUUUUUGUCUUUCAAAUCAGAUACACAAAUAAGCUGAUAACCAUUUUCAGAAUAUAUAAAACAAGAAUCUCCAGUUACGGGAGCAAAGCCUGUAGCUUCUGAGUUCCUGCCUUACUGAGGAAAUGGAUUUGAAAUGCCAGGAGGUAAACGUUCAUGUCUAUUUUAGAUUUCCGGUGAGGUCCUAUUUCCUUUGGAUUCUGUAUAAACAAAGAGAGAACAGUUGUUGGUUUGGUUAUUUCAGAUAACCCACGUCUUUCAAGUAAAUGGAGUCUAUCUAAAUGGAGAUCUAAUAAAUGACUAAACUUUUCCA
rnacentral:lncRNA from 1 species